ensembl:snRNA U4 U4 spliceosomal RNA
AGCUUUGCGCAGUGGCAGUAUUGUAGCCAAUGAGGGUUAUCCGAGGCGUGAUUAUUGCUAAUUGAAGAAGGCUUCGGAGAAGAUGAUGCCAUGUUUGAGCCAAGUCUUCGAAGAAGAAUAAAUGUAAGUCAGACCAGA